rnacentral:rRNA from 1 species
CGGCGGACGGGUGAGUAACGCGUGGGUAACCUGCCUCAUACAGGGGGAUAACAGUUGGAAGCGGCUGCUAAUACCGCAUAAGCGCACAGUACCGCAUGGUACCGUGUGAAAAACUCCGGUGGUAUGAGAUGGACCCGCGUCUGAUUAGCUAGUUGGUGGGGUAACGGCCUACCAAGGCGACGAUCAGUAGCCGACCUGAGAGGGUGACCGGCCACAUUGGGACUGAGACACGGCCCAA